UACAGAGGGUGCGAGCGUUAAUCGGAAUUACUGGGCGUAAAGCGUGCGUAGACGGUUAUUUAAGUCGGGUGUGAAAGCCCCGGGCUCAACCUGGGAAUUGCAUUCGAGACUGAAUAGCUAGGGUACGGUAGAGGGAAGUGGAAUUUCCGGUGUAGCGGUGAAAUGCGUAGAUAUCGGAAGGAACAUCAGUGGCGAAGGCGACUUCCUGGACCAGUACCGACGUUCAGGCACGAAAGCGUGGGGAGCAAACAGG
rnacentral:rRNA from 1 species